CACUAACACACACAGAUGGAAUAAACACAUACACACAGAGGCACACACAGAGAUAAACACUGACACUCAAAGAUACACAUACCUACAUACACACUGGUACACACAGAAUCAGGUACACACAAACAUGGACGUACACAUAAACACUGCCAGAGGGCUGCAGCACCAGACCGGGGGCCUCGAUAGGACCUGCCUGUGGGGACCUCCCUCGAUUCCUGCUGGCAUCACCCAUACUGCAG